UACAGAGGUCUCGAGCGUUAGGCGGAAUCACUGGGCUUAAAGCGUGUGUAGGCGGUGCGUUAAGUGCUUUGUGAAAUCCCAUGGCUCAACCAUGGAACUGCUGGGCAUACUGGCGAUCUUGUGCCACCUAGGGGCGAGCGGAACAGAUGGUGGAGCGGUGAAAUGCGUAGAUAUCAUCUGGAACGCCAAUGGUGAAAACAGCUCGCUGGGGGUGUGCAGACGCUGAGACACGAAAGCCAGGGGAGCGAACGGG
rnacentral:rRNA from 1 species